CCUACGGGAGGCAGCAGUGAGGAAUAUUGGUCAAUGGGCGCGAGCCUGAACCAGCCAAGUAGCGUGAAGGAUGACUGCCCUACGGGUUGUAAACUUCUUUUAUAAAGGAAUAAAGUGAGGCACGUGUGCCUUUUUGUAUGUACUUUAUGAAUAAGGAUCGGCUAACUCCGUGCCAGCAGCCGCGGUAAUACGGAGGAUCCGAGCGUUAUCCGGAUUUAUUGGGUUUAACGGGAGCGUAGAUGGGUUGUUAAGUCAGUUGUGAAAGUUUGCGGCUCAACCGUAAAAUUGCAAUUGAUACUGGCAGUCUUGAGUACAGUUGAGGUAGGCGGAAUUCGUGGUGUAGCGGUGAAAUGCUUAGAUAUCAGGAGGAACACCAGUUGCGAAGGCGGCCUACUGAACGGCGACUGACGCUGAUGCUCGAAAGCGUGGGUAGCAAACAGGAUUAGAUACCCGGGUAGUC
rnacentral:rRNA from 1 species